UGAGUGAAUGAUGCGGGAGAUAAAAUCAUAUCCUAUGCUGGCUAUGCUUGGACUGAAGGGAGCUCCCUUCUCUACAAGCCCAUGCAUACUAUGAAAUCUUCUAGUUAUAUAUCUUUUUUUUUCCUUCAGAAAAAGACUUUGUCCAUUCUUCGAUUAUUUUUUUUCUUGUGUUUCUUCUGAUUUCUAUGAUAAGAAUAAAUCAGGCUACUUAAAUCUUCUUCUUUUUAUAUGUAACGUGGAAGUUUUAAUUCAACCCUAUCUAUUAGUUUGUGUGAAUAAAUUUCUAAGUUUUCCCCGUAUAUGCACAUCAUACGACUUUCUUAUUAAACAAAAAAAAAAAAGUGGCUUCCAUGAUUCCUGCUGCUUAGCAUAUGGUUAUUGCAACAAAAAGUAGCGUCAGAGAUGAUUGAUAUCCUCUAUGAGUCUAAUCCCUCAUUCGUAUUGCAUUUGGCUUUUUAAAAGGGUCACACUCACAAAACCCUAAUAUAGAUCAAUGAACUCUUUCAGCAGUUCAAGUUUUGAUUUUCGCAUUGAAGCCAUCAUUUCAACUUAAUGCACCCGGCGUUACACAAACAGAUCUAUUAUCACAAAAUGGGCAUUCUACAGACAGAUCAAACAAAGGCUUCAUUCUGGAAUUUUAUAUAUAUGUAUUCAUAGUAUAUGUUUUAUGAUCUAUCUAGUUUUUCACCCAUCAUGGUUAUAGACAUGCAGAAAUUUCUGUUUUUUAAUUACUAGUAGCCUAUUCAUCUCUUUUUGUCUCGUCAUAUCUUAGAUGGAGAAAGCUAACAAACAGAUGGCUUUGUUGAUGCUAUGCAAAUGGGUGCCUGUCCCGGCUAAUAUCAUAUGCUGCCGUUUUAAAUUUGGAUGUAUGCAGUAUUUUUUUGAUCAUAUUGGAUAUAUGUAGUAUAAACUGGUGUUUUGCAAUAAAGCCCGGAUGAAGUUUUCCAAGCAA